rnacentral:tRNA from 1 species
UGGGGUAUCGCCAAGCGGUAAGGCACCGGAUUCUGAUUCCGGCAUUCCGAGGUUCGAAUCCUCGUACCCCAA